UAACGUUCCAAGUCAGUCUUUGGUCUGAGUUACAAAAACUCGAUACAUUCCACCAAAAUGUUACAAGUCAAUCUCCAGCUUCGUAAGCUACACGUGCG